AUCAUAACUUCCUCAUACGAAGUCAGAUUUGGGCGUUCUAUAUAUAUUCGGAAACCUCGUUUCAACUACUACAACAUUAACCAAAGAUAUUAAGUUUAUUUUACACUUAAAUUUUGACGCUUAUUUUUAUUCUUAAUUAAUCAAACCACAUAAUUAAGCAAUUAAGCACAAAACACAUAAUACUCAAAUAAUACAAUCUUAUUAUUUCAAAACGGGUUACAAAGGUUAACCUAGACUAUUACAUUGCUAAAAAUGGCAAGCCCGGAAACACAGGCGUUACAAUUCUCUCCACCUUAGAAUGAUUCCGUCCCCGGAAUCACACAUCAACAAACAAAUGCGGAUAGCGACUCAACAUGUCACUCUCCGUCUCCCAGGUGAGAUUCGGCCCAUUCGUGUGUUUCCAUCGGACAAGCACUAACCCAACCAUUUUGCGUCGCAACUUCUUAGUCUUUCGGUCAACAAUUGCCUCUGGUUCUUCAAUCAACCUUUUGUUCUCAUCAAUUCUCAAUUCAGAAAUUGGAAUUAUAUCGGGAACUUCUCCCGUGAACUUCCUCAAAUAACACACAUGAAAAGUGUUGUGAAUUCCAUUCAGUUCUUCGGGUAAUUCGAGCUUGUAAGCUUGGUUCCCAAUCCUCUGAAGAACUUUAAACGGUCCAAUAAACCUUGGACUCAACUUUCCCCUUUUACCAAAUCUUAUAAGUCCCUUCCACGGCGAGACUUUAAGCAAAACCGAAUCCCCAACCUCAAAAGUUAUCGGUCUCCGCUUCUUGUCAGCAUAGCUCUUUUGACGAUCCUGAGCUGCUAACAUUCUUUCCCUAAUUAUUUUCAACUUUUCAGCAGUUUGAUGAACCAACUCCGGUCCCAUAAACUGCUUUUCCCCAGCCUCAAGCCAACAAGACGGCGUACGACACUUCUGUCCAUACAAAGCUUGGUAAGGUGCCAUCUUAAUGCUCGAGUGGAAACUAUUAUUAUAGGAAAAUUCUACCAACGGUAAAUGUUCAUCCCAAUUACCUAGGAAUUCCAGAGUACAUGCUCUCAGCAUAUCUUCAAGUGUUUGUAUCGUUCGUUCGCUCUGACCAUCAGUCUGCGGAUGGUAAGCUGUACUUAAACACAACUUGGUACCCAAUUCCUCUUGUAGACUUUUCCAAAACCUCGAUGUGAAACGGCUAUCACGAUCCGACACAAUCGUUAACGGAACACCGUGAAGCCUCACAAUUUCCUUCACGUAAGAAUUCGCAAGCUUCUCCAUAGACCAUUUCUCCCUGGCCGCUAUGAAAUGCGCACUCUUAGUGAAUCGAUCAACGACCACCCAAAUCAUGUCGUGACCAUUCUUUGUUCUGGGCAGUUUAGUGACAAAAUCCAUAGCAAUGUCUUCCCACUUACCCAUAGGCACAGGCAAAGGUUCUAAACUCCCGUACGGUUUCUGAUGUUGUGUCUUGACUCUCGCACAAGUCACACACUCGGCCACAUACUUUGCAACAUCAAGCUUCAUCGUCGGCCACCAGUAGUAGGGUUUCAGGUCCCUAUACAUUUUAGUGCUACCCGGAUGAAUCGAGUACAUGGUCUUGUGAGCUUCUUCCAUCAGAAGAUCUCUGACUCCUCCUGUCUUAGGUAUCCAAAUCCGAUCUUGGAACACCUUCAGUCCAUGACUGUUUACACCGAACACCAACGUUUUGCCCAAACGUUCCUCCUUUCUGUCAUUCUUCUCAGAAGCUUCGCUCUGAGCUUUCUUUAUACUUUCCAAAAUAGUUGAGACAACUUCAAUUCUCAACGCUCUUGGCCUUUUCCUUUCGGGAUUGACUUUCCGACUGAGAGCAUCAGCAACAACAUUAGCUUUACCGGGGUGGUAAAGUAUCUCGCAGUCAUAGUCUUUAAGUAAUUCUAGCCAGCGUCGUUGCCUCAUAUUCAAUUCUUUCUGAUUAAAGAGGUAUUGGAGACUCUUAUGAUCAGUGAAAAGUUUGCACUUCGUGCCAUAGAGGUAAUGCCUCCAUAUUUUCAGAGCGAAAACUACCGCUGCCAACUCCAAAUCAUGAGUCGGGUAAUUCUUUUCAUGCUCUUUCAGCUGUCGAGACGCAUAUGCUAUCACCUUUUCUCUUUGGGUCAAAACACAACCCAAUCCAACACCAGACGCAUCGCUAUAGACAGCGAAGUCUUCAACUCCAUCGGGUAGAGAAAGUAUCGGUGCCUCGCAUAGCUUCUCCUUUAGCUUCUCAAAUGCUUCCUUAUGCUUCUCACCCCAAGCAUAAGUAGCUCCUUUGUGGGUCAAAGCUGACAAUGGACUAGCGAUCGAAGAAAAGCCUUGGAUAAACCUUCGGUAAUAUCCGGCUAAUCCUAAAAAGCUUCGAAUCUCCGUGGGACUUUUCGGUUGUUCCCACUUCGUCACAGCUUCGAUCUUCGCUGGAUCAACCAUUAUCCCUUCUUGGUUGACCACGUGACCCAAGAAUUGGACUUCACGAAUCCAAAAAUCACAUUUGGAGAACUUAGCAUACAGCUUCUCCUUCUUCAAAACUUCUAACACUUCUCGCAAGUGUCUGCCAUGCUCCUCCUGGCUUUUCGAGUAAAUCAGAAUGUCGUCUAUGAACACUAUCACGGAUUUAUCAAGGAACGGGUUACAAACCCUAUUCAUCAAAUCCAUGAACGCUGCUGGAGCAUUGGUUAGUCCAAACGACAUAACCAAGAACUCGUAGUGUCCAUAUCUAGUUCUGAAUGCAGUCUUCUCGAUAUCUUGCUCUCUUACUUUUAGCUGAUGAUAUCCUGACCUAAGAUCGAUCUUCGAGAAAUAGCUCGAACCUUGCAAUUGAUCAAACAGGUCAUCAAUCCUCGGCAACGGAUAUCUAUUCUUUAUUGUUGCCUUGUUCAGCUCUCUGUAAUCGAUGCACAUUCUCAUACUUCCAUCUUUCUUCUUUACAAAUAACACCGGAGCUCCCCAGGGCGAUGAACUAGGUCUAAUGAAACCGUUGUCCAAUAACUCCUGAAGUUGCAUCAUUAGCUCCUUCAUCUCCGUCGGUGCUAAUCGAUAAGGUGCUUUCGCAAUUGGCGUUGUUCCUGGCAACAAGUCAAUACGGAAUUCCACUUGUCGAUCAGGCGGUAAUCCAGGAAGAUCUUCGGGAAAUACUUCCGGAUAAUCACACACCACUGGAAUAUUCUGCAUCACCUUCUUUUCCUUCUUAGCAUCAAUCACGAAUGCUAAAUACGAUGUACACCCCUUGGUCAAACAUUUUCUGGCUUUCAUCAAUGAAAUGAUUCCAGAAUUCACUCUGCGUUUAUCUCCAUACACCAUAAACGAAUCUUUCCCAGGCGGGUUUACUUUGACUAUUUUCUUCUUGCAUAAAAUUUCGGCGUCGUUGGCGCUAAGCCAAUCCAUUCCCAAUACGAUGUCGAAACCAUUAAGUUCGAUAGGCAAUAAUUCCUCGUGGAACUUAUUCCCAUUCAGAUCAAUUAAGAUGUUUUUCAUGCGAUAGCUAACAGGUACAAACUUGCCACUAGCAACUUCGACUAAUAAGGCAUUAUCUAGUCUAACAACAGGCAAAGCUAGCUUUCUACCAAAUUCAUGCGAUAUAAAGGAGUAGUUGGCUCCAGAAUCAAAUAAAAUUUGGGCAGGCAAUUCGUUAACGAGAAAGGUACCUGAAGCGACAUCAGCUUCAUCUUUAGCAGCUUCCAGUGUCAUCUGGAAUGCUCUCGCCUUUGGCUUUGGCGGAAUGUUGGGUCUAGCUGCCUCCUUCUUCUUCGGGCAGUCCCUCGACAUAUGACCCUCCUCACCACAACCAUAGCAAACUUUCUUUGUGAGGGUACACUCAUUGGCAUAGUGCCCUGGCUUUCCACACUUGUAGCAUGUGUUCGCCACCUCACAUUUUCCAUGAUGCUUCUUCUUACAUUUGUCGCACCAUUUCGCUUCACCUCCACCUCCCCUCGAACCAGACUUCGAGAACUUGUUUUUCUUGUUGGACCCUGAAGUUCCAUCGAACUUCCUCUUUUCACCAACAUCUAUCCUUUCCAGACCCUUUUCCUUCUGCUGGGCCUCCACAUUCUUAGCUGCACGAACAGCCGUUUUCAGAGUAGUUGCCAUCUUGACUGUCGGACCAAAGUCGGCAGGCAGUCCAUUAGCAAACCUCUCAAUCUUGGAGAGUUCCGUUGGCACUAGGUACGGAAACAACUUCAUCUUCUCAGUAAAUGCAGUAGCAUAGUCAUCUAUGCUCAUCUUCCCCUUCUUCAUGUUUUGGAACUCAUUGUUCAGAUCUAUCUCUAAACAAUACUGCACCCUUAGUUGUUCCAAGAACUCCUCCCAUGACAUUUUCAGGGCUUCUCCUCGUGGCAUAGUAUUUGCCAUCAACUUCCACCAACUCAAGACUUUGGUCUUUAGUUAUCUAACCGCAAAGACGGUCUUCUGUUUGUUGCUACAGUCGCAACUUUCAAAUACCAUCUCCAUUUCGGAGAUCCAAUCCAUUAUCUCAACAGGCUUUGGGCUUCCAGAAAGACUUGGCGGCUUGGCGCCCAAGAAGUUCUUGUACAUUCACCCAUCCUUGUUGUUUCUCCUUUCCGGAUCGUUCCUUCGUUCCCCUUGAGUCCCAACUUGACUCAUCAUGCGACUAUUGUUCCCUUCCUCCGAUUGCUCGGGAAUCAAUUCAGGUUCCUCAAUAGGUAUGAUAGGUUCAUCCCUAUUAUUAUGCAACAUUUGUCGCAUCUCCUCCCUUUGUUCGGCUAGCAUAGCCCGAAUCAUGGCUUGCACCCCAGCCAUUGUUAUUGGUUCUGGUGCUGCUGCUACAACAUGUAUUUGCUCAAUCACUGGCAGUUGAUUCCUGUUUUCAUCCGCGUUUCCAACGCCACUCCUUGUUCUCACCAUUUUUGAUCUACACACUGAAUAAGGUGAAAUUAGAUCCUCAUUGACGAUAGAUAUUCAAAUCAUCAUUAUUACUCCGAAACGUUUACAUGCUAGUUCAAAUAUUGUAGACGCACGCUUAGAAUCGUACACACAUAAGGUUUCUAGAUCCGGUCGACAACAGACCGUAGAUCUGAACAAAUAAUAUCAUAUGUGGCAACAUAUAGCAUUUAGCACAUAAAGCAUUUUAGGCAACUUUCCUAAAAUAAACUAGUGCUCGUGUGUAAAAUCCAACAGACACACAUCUCAACAUUCCACUUAGCAUCCUAAGUUUAAGUCUAGAAAUCCUACAAAUUCCUAGUUCGCUUAAACUAACGCUCUGAUACCAACUGUGACAUCCCCAAAAUCUCGGCCAGAUAAGACCGAUUUUCAUUUAUGCUUUUAAAUAAUUUCAGAGUAAAUCCUUUUGAUUUGAAAGAGUUGCGGAAUUUGUUCCCAAAACAAAACAUGAUAAAAUAAUAUUUAUCAAAGCGUUUCAUCAAGAGAUGCAUUUUCAUUAUAUAAUCAAAACUCGGGAUGUCAUGUUCCGAUACAGACCAUAAAGCAUAAACGAUAAACUUAAAAGUCAUUCAACAAAUAUAUACAUAUACAGACUUGUAAACAAAACAACAAGAUGAUCCAUCCAUCUUACGCCCUUGUGCCACUUCCUGUAAUACAAAUAAAACUGAGUGGGUCAGGCUUGGGAGCCUGGUGAGCAUAUAGGGUUUUCAACCCACAAUAAAUAAGUUAUAUUUAAUUUCACCAACCAAUCACUAUCCCGAUUACCCAUUCCCGUUAUCCUCACUUUACGUCCCUAAAACAACUAUCUCAAGGGACCUAAUCUAGGAUUUUCAUCGGGACGGACAUCACUGCGAAGGGGUUUCCUCAACAAUAGAUAUCCUAAAGGCAACCAUGAGGGGGAUAGAGUACACCGGUGAACACAUCGUUCACAACACCUACAGGUUAUGAACCUGCUAGCGUUCCACUGGACUGUCUAGAAAGAGUCCGUGGUCGUUAUCCAUACUCCGCUGAAUAACUAGAUCAACAACAACAACAACAUCGAGGCCUCUCAUCUGUUUAUUACACACCAACUAUCUACCCAUGUUCUACCCAACAUAUUAGUAGAUAAAAAUAUAUAUUUUCAUACAUAGUUUAAAACCUGUAUAUCAUUUUCAUUCAAUAUAUAUUCCACAUAACAGAUGAGGCAUACCACAUAACACGUAUUCCAUAGAAAACAAUUCAAAUCUAUGAGAUAGAAUAAAGUGAAUAUCCAUUCAUGCAUACAAUCACAAAAUAUACACAUAAGAAGUAUAUCGUAUAAAAUACCUCAUAGUUACUCGUUAGAAGAAAGCAACUACACCCUCACACAUAUAAACCACAAUUUACUUAAUACACUCAAACUGUACUUGUAUUAUUAUCGUGUUUAUGAAAGGUAGUAUACACUCACUUGAUCAGAAGAUGAUCAGACAGGACUACGACUUGCAGAAGUAGUAAUGCACAGGAGAUCUGGAACAUCUGCACAAAAAUCGAACUUCUCGCGGGCAGAGCUUCGACUCGGGAACCGCACUUCUCGGAAUCUUCGGGAUCUCGGGACUUUCCUCGGGGCUCGAGAAUAAUAUCAAGGCUUCGGGUAUUUUUGGCACGCAAAAUGAUGCAAAACGGGAGAGAGAAGAGAGGAAAUUAGCAAAAUAGCCGGCUGCCCUCGCAUCCUAUUUAUAGGAGGCUGGAGCCUCGGAGUACGCGGGGCGUACAGGCGUACGCGGGGCAUACUGGCCUCGGAAUUCGUCACUGCAUGCAUCAUCCGAAGUGUCGACACUCUUCGGAGUACGCGGGGCGUACUCGCAUAUGCGGGGUGUACGUCGGAUCGGACUGCUGACUCCCCCUUCGGAUAAUGCCGGAUUUUUCAAUUAAAAAUAAAUACAAAUUAUUUAUCAAACUUCGGAAAUUCAUAUCUUCUUCAUACGAACUCUGUUUUCGACGUUCUUUAUAUCCACGGAAAGGUGAGACUACACUCUACAAAUUUUGUUUAGACUCCGUCGGCAAAUUUGGACUUUAUUUUUAUUAUUUAUUUUUAAUAGGCCGCGACAGAAAAACUUCGUUAUAAAUUCAUAACUUCUUCGUUUGACGUCCGUUCUCGCCUAACUUUUUAUCGCUUCGAUACCAACAACGAGACCUUCGAUCCUCGUUUAGAUUGUUUCGGCUAAAAACCACGCUUUCUCAAAUCGAGUAUUUCAGGCUGCAUACCGCUAAGUCGAAACUUCGAUAAAUCAUAACUUCCUCAUACGAAGUCAGAUUUGGGCAUUCUAUAUAUAUUCGGAAACCUCGUUUCAACUACUACAACAUUAACCAAAGAUAUUAAGUUCAUUUUACACUUAAAUUUUGACGCUUAUUUUUAUUCUUAAUUAAUCAGACCACAUAAUUAAGCAAUUAAGCACAAAACACAUAAUACUCAAAUAAUACAUUCUUAUUAUUUCAAAACGGGUUACAAAGGUUAACCUAGACUAUUACAUUACUAAGAAUGGCAAGCCCGGAAACACAGGCGUUACAUUAUCGACUUCAGGUUCUGAGUUAGUCUCUUCAGGAAAUGGUUCGGCGAAGUCAUCUUCCAAAGGAAUCUCAUGGUUCUCUUCUGGCGCUAGCGCGAGCCAUCCAUCAUCUCCUUGGUUGGGAAAGAACGGGUCGCCAGGGAAUUGGAAUCCAGCCAUGCUAUCUAUGCGAGAUAAGGGUAAAGGGAUAGUUAUUAGGCAUCGAAUCUAAUAAUACUUUCAAUGUAUUACGGCUACAUGAUUGAUUCUUGAGGGAUGGAUUCUUGGGUAAGUUUCCGGUUCGGUUGCUAUAACAUCCUAAAAUAUUCCUAUAUUAUUUUAAUCGUUAUGUUCAGUUCUGGAACUCUUCUGGUAUCAAGCUAUGUUUUAGGCUUGCUGCAACACCACAGUCACUCCCAAGCACAUGUUGGUCAUGUCUCGAAUGAAUAUAGUGGAUUAGGCUUUAUUGACCCGAGACAUGAUAACAUAACUUCCCAGGUCUAACCGCGAUGUCCAACAUCCAGAUACUUUUGUUUUGUACUGCUUAUGACACUGGUUCGGGUACUUAGGUAUACUUUUAUAGUUUUUCUAAAAAUAGUUAUAUUUUUGAAAAUAUACUUUUAGUUUAGAGCACUUAGGCCCUUAAUGUUUAUAGUUGUAUACCAUGUAUGGUUCGGUAUACUUAGUUCACUAUAAACAAGAGCUCUAAUACCUAUCUGUC
rnacentral:lncRNA from 1 species